rnacentral:rRNA from 1 species
UACGGAGGGUGCAAGCGUUGUCCGGAAUCACUGGGCGUAAAGGGCGCGUAGGCGGCCUGACAAGUGGAAGGUGAAAUCCCUCGGCUUAACCGAGGAACUGCCUUCCAAACUGUUUGGCUUGAGUCCGGGAGAGGCGAGUGGAAUUCCCAGUGUAGCGGUGAAAUGCGUAGAUAUUGGGAGGAACACCAGUGGCGAAGGCGGUCGACUGGGCCGGAACUGACGCUGAGUGC